rnacentral:misc_RNA from 1 species
GAUGAAGAACGCAGCGAAAUGCGAUAAGUAGUGUGAAUUGCAGAAUUCCGUGAAUCAUCGAAUCUUUGAACGCACAUUGCGCCCCCUGGUAUUCCGGGGGGCAUGCCUGUUCGAGCGUCAUUUCACCACUCAAGCCUCGCUUGGUAUUGGGCAACGCGGUCCGCCGCGUGCCUCAAAUCGACCGGCUGGGUCUUCUGUCCCCUAAGCGUUGUGGAAACUUUCGCUAAAGGGUGUUCGGGAGGCUACGCCGUAAAACAACCCCAUUUCUAAGGUUGACCUCGGAUCAGGUAGGGAUACCCGCUGAACUUAAGCAUAUCAAUAAGCGGAGGA